rnacentral:rRNA from 1 species
GAUGAACGCUAGCGGCAGGCUUAACACAUGCGAGUCGAGGGGUAGGAGAAGCUUGCUUUUCUGAGACCGGCGCACGGGUGCGUAACGCGUAUGCAAUCUACCUUUCACAGAGGGAUAGCCCAGAGAAAUUUGGAUUAAUACCUCAUAGUAAUACGACUUGGCAUCAAGAUGUAUUUAAAGAUUUAUCGGUGAAAGAUGAGCAUGCGUCCCAUUAGCUAGUUGGUAUGGUAACGGCAUACCAAGGCAACGAUGGGUAGGGGUCCUGAGAGGGAGAUCCCCCACACUGGUACUGAGACACGGACCAGACUCCUACGGGAGGCAGCAGUGAGGAAUAUUGGACAAUGGGCGCAAGCCUGAUCCAGCCAUGCCGCGUGCAGGAUGACGGUCCUAUGGAUUGUAAACUGCUUUUAUACAGGAAGAAACACCUCUACGUGUAGAGACUUGACGGUACUGUAAGAAUAAGGAUCGGCUAACUCCGUGCCAGCAGCCGCGGUAAUACGGAGGAUCCAAGCGUUAUCCGGAAUCAUUGGGUUUAAAGGGUCCGUAGGCGGUCAGGUAAGUCAGUGGUGAAAGCCCAUCGCUCAACGGUGGAACGGCCAUUGAUACUGUCUGACUUGAAUUAUUAGGAAGUAACUAGAAUAUGUAGUGUAGCGGUGAAAUGCUUAGAGAUUACAUGGAAUACCAAUUGCGAAGGCAGGUUACUACUAAUUGAUUGACGCUGAUGGACGAAAGCGUGGGUAGCGAACAGGAUUAGAUACCCUGGUAGUCCACGCCGUAAACGAUGGAUACUAGCUGUUGGGAGCAAUCUCAGUGGCUAAGCGAAAGUGAUAAGUAUCCCACCUGGGGAGUACGAACGCAAGUUUGAAACUCAAAGGAAUUGACGGGGGCCCGCACAAGCGGUGGAGCAUGUGGUUUAAUUCGAUGAUACGCGAGGAACCUUACCAAGGCUUAAAUGUAGAUUGACCGGUUGGAAACAG